UACGAAGGGGGCUAGCGUUGCUCGGAAUCACUGGGCGUAAAGGGUGCGUAGGCGGCCUGUUAAGUCGAACGUGAAAUCCCCGGGCUCAACCCGGGAACUGCGUCCGAUACUGGCAGGCUUGAAUCCGGGAGAGGGAUGCGGAAUUCCCGGUGUAGAGGUGAAAUUCGUAGAUAUCGGGAGGAACACCGGUGGCGAAGGCGGCGAUCUGGAUAGAUACUGACGCUGAGGUGCGAAAGCGUGGGGAGCAAACAGG
rnacentral:rRNA from 1 species